rnacentral:rRNA from 1 species
UGGGGAAUUUUGGACAAUGGGCGAAANCCUGAUCCAGCAAUGCCGCGUGUGUGAAGAAGGCCUUCGGGUUGUAAAGCACUUUUGUCCGGAAAGAAAUCCUUGGCUCUAAUACAGUCGGGGGAUGACGGUACCGGAAGAAUAAGCACCGGCUAACUACGUGCCAGCAGCCGCGGUAAUACGUAGGGUGCAAGCGUUAAUCGGAAUUACUGGGCGUAAGCGUGCNCAGGCGGUUUGCUAAGACCGAUGUGAAAUCCCCGGGCUCAACCUGGGAACUGCAUUGGUGACUGGCAGGCUAGAGUAUGGCAGGAGGGGGGUUAGAAUUCCACGUGUAGCAGUGAAAUGCGUAGAGAUGUGGAGGAAUACCGAUGGCGAAGGCAGCCCCCUGGGCCAAUACUGACGCUCAUGCACGAAAGCGUGGGGAGCAAACAGGAUUAGAUACCCUGGUAGUCCACGCCCUAAACGAUGUCACUGG